CAACAAUUAGAGGGCCUGCUUUCACUUUUUUUUCCUACUCUGACUGGAGUCCUUUAGAAAAUUAAUUCAGUUUCUUAGCAACUCAGAUGGGUAAAACUAUACUUUGGGUUCUUUUGUGAAGUAAAGGCUAAAUGCGCCCCUUAUAAACUACGUGUCGGCUUAGUCUUGCUCGGCCUUGCAGAAAAGAUUUUUACAACAAUCUCUCCGUUUCAUAUGAUUCCUACGUGUGAAAAUCCCUCCACCUAAUGUAUCUUGAGGCCCAGAAAGGCAGGAGAGGCAGGGAUCUUGCAAAGAGGCUGCAGCAUCCCACACAAGAUCUCAGUGCCAAAUGGAAAAAAAUCUCCUGCCAUCACCACAACCUGAAAUGAAAGUCAACGUAUGGGAAAUAAAGCCUCCUGAUUUUAGUUACAAACUGUAUAAAUCUAUGAGAUGUCCAGAAAAACCAUCAAGGACCAUGAAGGAAGAACAAAAGAGAAAAAAAAGCAAUUUUCAAGAAACAGUGCUUCACCUGCCCAGUAUAAAGAAGCAUCCUGAGAAGGCCACACCUCCCAAGUUUAUAACUACAUUCCCACAUGUGGAUUCACACAAAGCGAACUUAAUGUUUGUGAAGAGUGGAAAAUAUCCAAAUGGUGUAUACUUCAAUCCAAAACCACAUGACUUUAGACAGGGAACAAUACAAUUCAGAUUCAGCAAUAAAUGACAGAGGAGAGAGUACCAACGUAAUUUACCGAACUUUGUGACAACUUAUGAACGGGAUCCUUUUGGAUUAAAAUUUAAGGCACAACACUUAAGUGUAGCACAUGGGUGCCAGUUGCUGAAAGAUGAUGAACACAAGAACAGUAUGGAAAGAUUUAUCACCUACAAGCCUCGGGAACGCACUUGGGAUUCAAAACUAAUUUUACCAAAAGCUCCGUGGCCGGUUAGAUCUGGUUCCUACACGAGACAUAGACGGCAGCGGGAUGCGUACAGUGCAUUUAUGGAUCGUGUAGAAGAAAAGUUUACCAAGACAUGUAAGCAGAGGUUUCAGUGGAAUUCUGGAAAACUACCAGUGAUGAUGUCCUAAUUUCAGGCUUCAGAAACACUGUGGGUGCCGCCCACAUCCCCUCAGUCUUUGUCAUUCCCCACAUUUCUGCCUAACCUCCAAAGAUCAGCAUCUGCGUCUCUUUGCCCCAGGGCUUUCUCUGGCUGUUGGAGCUGCCCACAGCCGGUCAGACUGUUGGAGGUUUACCAUCUCCCAGCAGAAGGCCUCAAGCAAUAACUGAGUUGAUUGUUUUACGUCGUUCACCAGAUCUCCCCGAGGGCUUAAACUCCAGUUGACCCGGUAGUUACUUGCAUGUUGUUGGCUUCCUUCCUUUUCCCUUCUCGCCUGCCCACACUCUUACCUUCAUUUUGGGGAUCACCUCUGGUUUCUCUAGAAUCCCUGUUAAAUAUCUGCUUCAGAGGAAACUUAAAUCAAGACACCGGGAGACAGUAUAAUGACAGACAGAAGCCCAAAAGCCUGGCUUCGAAUCCCAGCCUUGCCACAUAAUCUUGGACAGGUCACUCUUCCUCAGUACUUUACCUGCAAUUUGGAAAUAGUGUGUACUAAGACACAGACAAGCGGGAUCUGAGUGACACUAUGUCUUGUAACUCCUCUUACCUCUCUUUAUUCACUUGUCAACGUCGUCUAUGGAAAGAGCGUGAAAGGGGAGAUUAACAUAAUGGACAGAGUUUGGGCUUUGGGUUUGGUCAAAAUGGAUUCAAAUUCUAACCAAACCACCCAUAACUGUGUAGUCUUGGAUGAUUUGCUUAAGUUUUCUGAACCAAUCUUUCUCGGGUUUUAGGAGAAUUAAAUAAAAAUGUGUAUAUAAACUGCUUGCAAAGUCCUUCAUAUCUUCUGAAUUCACUUAUUGUUGAUUAUUAUUGUUAACGAAAAUAUAGAGAUAUAGCUUUGCAUGACCAUGGAAAAGUUACUUAACUGUCUGUGGCUCAGUUUUCUCAUCUGUAAAAUGACAAUAAUAAUCGUACCAACUUCAUAAAGUUGUUAUGAAAAAUCAAAAGUUUGUAUUUGCAAAACACUUGGAACAUAGCACAUGACACUUAGUAAUUGUUAUAUAACUAUCUUAUGAAUAAAAACUCAACAACUAUGCAUUUGUGUCUACAAAAGAAAAUAUCUACAGUGUCUAAGGACUAGCCAAGUCAAGGGUGACUGAAAGAUGAGAGAAAGAGGAUGAGAGAGAGACAGAGAGAGGCUCCUCAGAAAGAUUAGUAAGAUUAGACUCGUGUAAACGAGGGGACUCCAGGGAGCGGAGAGCCAGCAGACAGCUAUUUCUAGAAGACGAGAUUGCAGAUGGGUACAUAAGGAGAAGAGACUUCAAAUGGGCAGAAAUUCAUUUUAUAUUUACAAGUGGUAGGUAUGAAGUGAUCCCACCCAAGACGUAGAGAUAGACUUAUCUUUACAAAGAUUAGAGCAGUUAUUUCAAACCAGAAAGAUCCUGUUCUAUAUACCAGAAAUUCUUGAUUGCUAUAGCAAUAGCAGGGGCUUCCUCUCUAUAAAUGACAUUGUACUUGAGCUCAGCAGUUGGGGCCUCAGUGCUAACUACUAUCUUGUAGCCAAACACAAAGGAAAUGACGUGGCAGUCCAUUACCAAGUUUCUUAAAGUGGUUACAGAAAAUCAUAGACUACCGCUGACUGAGCACUAUGAAUUCAGGGCUUCCAGCCUCAGCCAGAACCUUGUCCUUCCUAGCUGUCACUGCCUAGCUGUCACUGGGAAGCAUUUUCUUUUAUUAACUUCAAGAGCAAAUUGACUUUAAUAUCCCACAAGCUUCUUGAAAUAAAAAUGUUUUAAUCUGAA